rnacentral:rRNA from 1 species
GUGCUUACACAUGCAGUCGAGCGGUAAGGCCCUUUCGGGGGUACACGAGCGGCGAACGGGUGAGUAACACGUGGGUGACCUGCCCUCCACUCUGGGAUAAGCCCGGGAAACUGGGUCUAAUACCGGAUAGGACCACUGAUCGCAUGGUUGGUGGUGGAAAGUUUUUUCGGUGGGGGAUGGGCCCGCGGCCUAUCAGCUUGUUGGUGGGGUGAUGGCCUACCAAGGCGGUGACGGGUAGCCGGCCUGAGAGGGCGACCGGCCACACUGGGACUGAGACACGGCCCAGACUCCUACGGGAGGCAGCAGUGGGGAAUAUUGCGCAAUGGGCGGAAGCCUGACGCAGCGACGCCGCGUGGGGGAUGACGGCCUUCGGGUUGUAAACCUCUUUCGCCAGGGACGAAGAGCAAUUGACGGUACCUGGAGAAGAAGCACCGGCCAACUACGUGCCAGCAGCCGCGGUAACACGUAGGGUGCGAGCGUUGUCCGGAAUUAUUGGGCGUAAAGAGCUCGUAGGCGGUGUGUCGCGUCGGCCGUGAAAACUUGGGGCUUAACUCUGAGCGUGCGGUCGAUACGGGCAUCACUUGAGUUCGGCAGGGGAGACUG